rnacentral:rRNA from 1 species
UACGAGAGGCCCAAACGUUAUUCGGAAUUACUGGGCUUAAAGAGUUCGUAGGCGGCAUGAAAAGUAGGGUGUGAAAGCCCUCGGCUUAACCGAGGAAUUGCGCUCUAAACUGUCGUGCUCGAGGAACCUAGAGGUGAGCAGAACAGAUGGUGGAGCGGUGAAAUGCGUUGAUAUCAGGAGGAACACCUGUGGUGUAGACAGCUUACUGGACCAUUUCUGACGCUGAGACACGAAAGCGUGGGUAGCAAACAGG